UCAGAAGAUAGGUUUUCAUUUCAGCUAAAAGCAGUGUAAUCACUUGAUAUUCAGAUAUUUGCCAAAUGAUGCUAAAUUGCUCAAGGCAGGAGGGAUCAAUUAAUCCCCUUUGCAAUCGUGACAUUCUGUGGACAGACUGAGUGCCUCAAACUAACUGGAACUUGAGAGAAACCAGCAACUGAAGCCAGCGCCCAGUGUCAUCAGAAUGAAUGGAAAUUAGUAGCGGAGACUUAAUGUACUGCA